UACGAAGGGGGCUAGCGUUGCUCGGAAUUACUGGGCGUAAAGGGCGCGUAGGCGGACAGUUUAGUCAGAGGUGAAAGCCCAGGGCUCAACCUUGGAAUUGCCUUUGAUACUGGCUAUCUUGAGUUCGGGAGGGGUGAGUGGAAUGCCGAGUGUAGAGGUGAAAUUCGUAGAUAUUCGGCGGAACACCAGUGGCGAAGGCGACUCACUGGCCCGAUACUGACGCUGAGGCGCGAAAGCGUGGGGAGCAAACAGG
rnacentral:rRNA from 1 species